rnacentral:rRNA from 1 species
UAGGGAAUCUUCGGCAAUGGACGAAAGUCUGACCGAGCAACGCCGCGCGAGUGAAGAAGGUUUUCGGAUCGUAAAACUCUGUUGUUAGAGAAGAACAAGGACGUUAGUAACUGAACGUCCCCUGACGGUAUCUAACCAGAAAGCCACGGCUAACUACGUGCCAGCAGCCGCGGUAAUACGUAGGUGGCCAGCGUUGUCCGGUUUGAUUGGGCGUAAAGCGAGCGCAGGCGGUUUCUUAAGUCUGGUGUGAAAGCCCCCGGCUCAACCGGGGAGGGUCAUUGGAAACUGGGAGACUUGAGUGGAGAAGAGGAGGGUGGAAUUCCAUGUGUAGCGGUGAAAUGCGUAGAUAUAUGGAGGAACACCAGUGGCGAAGGCGGCUCUCGGGUCUGAAACUGACGCUGAGGCUCGAAAGCGUGGGGGGCAAACAGG